UAUUGUUUCCCGCAGCGGAAGCGUGCUGGGCCCAUAACCCAGAGGUCGAUGGAUCGAAACCAUCCUCUGCUAA
rnacentral:tRNA from 1 species